rnacentral:rRNA from 1 species
GAUGAACGCUGGCGGCGUGCCUAAUACAUGCAAGUCGAGCGAACAGACGAGGAGCUUGCUCCUCUGACGUUAGCGGCGGACGGGUGAGUAACACGUGGAUAACCUACCUAUAAGACUGGGAUAACUUCGGGAAACCGGAGCUAAUACCGGAUAAUAUAUUGAACCGCAUGGUUCAAUAGUGAAAUACGGUUUUGCUGUCACUUAUAGAUGGAUCCGCGCCGCAUUAGCUAGUUGGUAAGGUAACGGCUUACCAAGGCAACGAUGCGUAGCCGACCUGAGAGAGUGAUCGGCCACACGGGAACUGAGACACGGUCCAGACUCCUACGGGAGGCAGCAGUAGGGAAUCUUCCGCAAUGGGCGAAAGCCUGACGGAGCAACGCGGCGUGAGUGAUGAAGGUCUUCGGAUCGUAAAGCUCUGUUAUUAGGGAAGAACAAAUGUGUAAGUAACCGUGCACGUCUUGACGGUACCUAGUCAGAAAGCCACGGCUAACUACGUG